GAAGAGAUUUUCUUAAACAAUGAAAUAUUGUUUGGCGAUCCCACUGGGUAUACGACCAAAGGACCAGCAGCAUUUCGAAUGAGGAUAAGGGAACCUAGUUUGCAUGACACAAAUAUGGUCAAGGAAAAUGUUCAGGAAUUGCUUUUCCUCUGGAAUCAUGGUAGACGCAGCAAGGACACACACUUCAAAGCAGGGAUGAAAAGACACAAUUCCUUUCCUUUUGGAAGACCUAGAACAUAUUCCAAUGACAGCAGAGAUUUUAUGUUCAUAUGAAGAGGGAUAUAGCAAAUGAACAAAUGAAUAAGUGAAGCACAAAAAAAGGAAGAAUUGCUUGCAUUUACUGGUAAAAGAAGAAUCAGAUGCAUGUCACACCAGGGGAAAAUCAUUUUACCUUUUUCUGUUGAUCAGAGAGCCCAUGAAGAGAUGAGAUUGCCAAACUGAAUAAUCUAAAGAGAUUCUGUGGUGACUUAACAUGAAGUAAAUGUCUAGAUUUGAGAGAGAUCCUGGAUACCAUGUGAAAAAGAUGUGACUGAGGACGACUCACCCCACCAUAUUUUUUGCAAAACUCCUGAAGGAAAGAC